GUGUAAAAAAAGGAGCUCCCUUCGUCCAAAACGAGGAGGACAAGAUCAAAGGAAAGAAAAUAGAAAUCUAAUUGUUCAUGGAUUCCUCGAAUUAAGUGCUUGAGCUUGAAGAAGGCGCACUUUUAAGAGGUUUGCAUGGCCUCUUAGAUCUUCUCUCCUUCUCUUCUCUUCGUUUGGAUUGAAGGGAGCUCCUUUUCCUAUUCUA
rnacentral:pre_miRNA from 1 species